rnacentral:rRNA from 1 species
GGUUAAGUGACUAAGCGUACACGGUGGAUGCCUGGGCAGUCAGAGGCGAUGAAGGACGUACUAACUUGCGAUAAGCGCAGAUAAGGCAGUAAGAGCCGUUUGAGUCUGCGAUUUCCGAAUGGGGAAACCCAACUGCAUAAGCAGUUACUGUUAACUGAAUACAUAGGUUAACAGAGCAAACCGGGGGAACUGAAACAUCUAAGUACCCCGAGGAGAAGAAAUCAACCGAGAUUCCGGUAGUAGCGGCGAGCGAACCUGGAUUAGCCCUUAAGCACUCGGUGAAGUAGGUGAACAAGCUGGAAAGCUUGGCGAUACAGGGUGAUAGCCCCGUAACCGACGCUUCAUCGAGCGUGAAAUCGAGUAGGGCGGGACACGUGAUAUCCUGUCUGAAUAUGGGGGGACCAUCCUCCAAGGCUAAAUACUCCUGACUGACCGAUAGUGAACCAGUACCGUGAGGGAAAGGCGAAAAGAACCCCUGUGAGGGGAGUGAAAUAGAACCUGAAACCGUGUACGUACAAGCAGUAGGAGCACCUUCGUGGUGUGACUGCGUACCUUUUGUAUAAUGGGUCAGCGACUUAUAUUCAGUGGCAAGGUUAACCGUAUAGGGGAGCCGUAGCGAAAGCGAGUCUUAACUGGGCGCUCAGUCUCUGGAUAUAGACCCGAAACCGGGUGAUCUAGCCAUGGGCAGGUUGAAGGUUGAGUAACAUCAACUGGAGGACCGAACCGACUAAUGUUGAAAAAUUAGCGGAUGACUUGUGGCUAGGGGUGAAAGGCCAAUCAAACUCGGAGAUAGCUGGUUCUCCCCGAAAGCUAUUUAGGUAGCGCCUCGGACGAAUACUACUGGGGGUAGAGCACUGUUAAGGCUAGGGGGUCAUCCCGACUUACCAACCCUUUGCAAACUCCGAAUACCAGUAAGUACUAUCCGGGAGACACACGGCGGGUGCUAACGUCCGUCGUGGAGAGGGAAACAACCCAGACCGCCAGCUAAGGUCCCAAAGUAUUGCUAAGUGGGAAACGAUGUGGGAAGGCUCAGACAGCUAGGAUGUUGGCUUAGAAGCAGCCAUCAUUUAAAGAAAGCGUAAUAGCUCACUAGUCGAGUCGGCCUGCGCGGAAGAUGUAACGGGGCUAAGCAAUACACCGAAGCUGCGGCAAUGUCUUUUAGACAUUGGGUAGGGGAGCGUUCUGUAAGCCGUUGAAGGUGAAUCGUAAGGUUUGCUGGAGGUAUCAGAAGUGCGAAUGCUGACAUGAGUAACGACAAAGGGGGUGAAAAACCUCCUCGCCGGAAGACCAAGGGUUCCUGUCCAACGUUAAUCGGGGCAGGGUGAGUCGACCCCUAAGGUGAGGCCGAAAGGCGUAAUCGAUGGGAAACGGGUUAAUAUUCCCGUACUUCUGACUAUUGCGAUGGGGGGACGGAGAAGGCUAGGUGGGCCAGGCGACGGUUGUCCUGGUUCAAGUGCGUAGGCUUGAGAGUUAGGUAAAUCCGGCUCUCUCUAAGGCUGAGACACGACGUCGAGCUACUACGGUAGUGAAGUCAUUGAUGCCAUGCUUCCAGGAAAAGCCUCUAAGCUUCAGAUAGUCAGGAAUCGUACCCCAAACCGACACAGGUGGUCGGGUAGAGAAUACCAAGGCGCUUGAGAGAACUCGGGUGAAGGAACUAGGCAAAAUGGUACCGUAACUUCGGGAGAAGGUACGCUCUUGAUGGUGAAGUCCCUCGCGGAUGGAGCUGACGAGAGUCGCAGAUACCAGGUGGCUGCAACUGUUUAUUAAAACACAGCACUGUGCAAAAUCGCAAGAUGACGUAUACGGUGUGACGCCUGCCCGGUGCCGGAAGGUUAAUUGAUGGGGUUAGCGCAAGCGAAGCUCUUGAUCGAAGCCCCGGUAAACGGCGGCCGUAACUAUAACGGUCCUAAGGUAGCGAAAUUCCUUGUCGGGUAAGUUCCGACCUGCACGAAUGGCGUAAUGAUGGCCACGCUGUCUCCACCCGAGACUCAGUGAAAUUGAAAUCGCUGUGAAGAUGCAGUGUACCCGCGGCUAGACGGAAAGACCCCGUGAACCUUUACUACAGCUUGGCACUGAACAUUGAACCUACAUGUGUAGGAUAGGUGGGAGGCUAUGAAGACGUGACGCCAGUUGCGUUGGAGCCGUCCUUGAAAUACCACCCUUGUAUGUUUGAUGUUCUAACUUAGACCCAUUAUCCGGGUUGAGGACAGUGCCUGGUGGGUAGUUUGACUGGGGCGGUCUCCUCCCAAAGAGUAACGGAGGAGCACGAAGGUGGGCUAAUCACGGUUGGACAUCGUGAGGUUAGUGCAAUGGCAUAAGCCCGCUUAACUGCGAGAAUGACGGUUCGAGCAGGUGCGAAAGCAGGUCAUAGUGAUCCGGUGGUUCUGUAUGGAAGGGCCAUCGCUCAACGGAUAAAAGGUACUCCGGGGAUAACAGGCUGAUACCGCCCAAGAGUUCAUAUCGACGGCGGUGUUUGGCACCUCGAUGUCGGCUCAUCACAUCCUGGGGCUGAAGUCGGUCCCAAGGGUAUGGCUGUUCGCCAUUUAAAGUGGUACGCGAGCUGGGUUUAGAACGUCGUGAGACAGUUCGGUCCCUAUCUGCCGUGGGCGUUGGAAGAUUGAAGGGGGCUGCUCCUAGUACGAGAGGACCGGAGUGGACGAACCUCUGGUGUUCGGGUUGUGUCGCCAGACGCAUUGCCCGGUAGCUAAGUUCGGAAUUGAUAAGCGCUGAAAGCAUCUAAGCGCGAAGCGAGCCCUGAGAUGAGUCUUCCCUGACAGUUUAACUGUCCUAAAGGGUUGUUCGAGACUAGAACGUUGAUAGGCAGGGUGUGUAAGCGUUGUGAGGCGUUGAGCUAACCUGUACUAAUUGCCCGUGAGGCUUAACCAU